ensembl:misc_RNA 7SK 7SK RNA
AAAUGUGAGGGCAAUCUGGCUAUGUCAUUUGUCACCCCAGUGAUCUCCAGUGUUAAUUGAUCUGAUCUGGCUGGCCAGACAGGUAUCCCUUCCUUCAUUACUACUUCUUGCUAGUCUCCUAAAGCUGCCCACCUCUUGGAAGAAAACCUUCCCCUUACAGAGCAGGGCCAUCAUCCUUGUACAGUAGAUACCCUCUCCUUCUAGACCCUCCAAAGAAGGAUCUGGAAAUGGGGGAGGGGCUGCCUUGGAAGUUUCUUACACAUAACCCUAGCUCUGAUGAUGUU